CAGGUCCACUAUAAGGAGACAGUAACAGGCAGGUCCAUGACAAGAUGACAUUAACAUGCAGGUCCAUGACAAGAAGACAUUAACAGGCAGGUCCACUAGAAGACGACAGUAACAGGCAGGUCCAUGACAAGAUGACAGUGACAGACAGGUUCAUGACAAGAAGACAGUAACAGACAGGUCCAUGACAAGAAGACAGUAACAGACAGGUCCAUGACAAGAAGACAGUGACAGCAGGCAGGUCCAUGACAAGAAGACAGUGACAGCAGGCAGG